ensembl:lncRNA
GGGGGGGGGGGGGGGGGGUGGGGAGGCUCCCGUGCCUCUUGUGUUUAUUUGUCUGGGCUCAGUUAGCCAUUUCUCUUCAGCCACAGUUCAAGUGCGACCCGCCGAGCUCCCUGGACGACACCCGCGGCCGUUUCCCGAGGACAGACUCCGCCACCGCCGUCGCCGUCCAUUCGGGCCGUUUCAUUUUCUCUACCUCGGUGAUUUGAAGGGACCCCCGUUACAUAACCUGAGCAAUAAAAGGUGAUCCCCAUCAUCUCCAGACAAGUGACCUGCCAAUAAAUCAAACCUAAUCGCCCAUUUCCCUGCCUGUUUAUGGUGCAAUAUCCAUUAAAGCAACAUCCAGAACACGAGAUAUGAAUCACACUGUUUACAGUCCUCAGCCGGCGACACUGUGAUGAUAUACGGUACACCAACCAAUUGCCCCUUCGGGCGCUCUUCAAACACCCCUCCGCACCCCCCCAUCCCACCCCCACCCCCACCGCACAAUCUGCUGAACAGUACAACAACGUUUCUAACAAUCUCCACAACCGUUAGACCCAUGAAGAUGGUGCUUGUGUAAGAAGUCCUGCAUCGCAGCAGCGUGUCGAUUAACUGCCCGUGUUCCCUUUUAUCUGGACUGACGGGGCCACAUCUGUGGAAGAGCCGACCAGGUGUGAAUAUUUCAGCAGCUACAUGGAACAUCUGGACCGUGGGAUGGGAGGGCUCGGGCGGGUUGGGUCAAUAAUGGGACCGGUCUACGUGCACUCGACUGGUUUUCUUUUUUAAACCGGUUUUAAAAUGUAUCCGGACACGGCAGCAAGUCGGCCAAAUGCCACGCCUACGUAGCACACGCCUUCGUAGCACACGCCUUCGUAGCACAUGCCUAUGUAGCGCACGCCUUCGUAGCGCACAGGCCUUCGUAGCGCACGCCAUCGUAGCGCACGCCUUCGUAGCGCACGCCUUCGUAGCGCACGCCUUCGUAGCGCACGCCUACGUAGCGCACAGGCCUUCGUAGCGCACGCCUACGUAGCGCACAGGCCUUCGUAGCGCACACCUUCGUAGCGCACAGGCCUACGUAGCGCACAGGCCUUCGUAGCGCACAGGCCUUCAUAGCGCACGCCACCGUAGCGCAGGCCUUCGUACCUUCGUAGCGCACGCCACCGUAGCGCAGGCCUUCGUAGCGCACGCCUACGUAGCGCACGCCUUUGUAUGGUGAUGGAUCUCAGGCCGCUUCAUCCUCGUCAAUAACAAGGGGAAAAGGUGCAGAGGGAAACUCCGGUAGGCUUUCUAAUAAUAAACAACAACAACUAACGAACGGAUGUGAAAACCUCCCGUCUGUUGUGGAGUAUCAAUUUACGCAGACUCUUGGUGAAGAUAUUCAUCCACCAGAGAAAAGAGACCGAUUGUGCUCUUGAUUGUCCGCUACGUUGUUUUUUUCGAUUAAGCAGUUAUCUCGAGUUUGUCUUGUGAGAACCGGAGACAGAAAUGAGGACAGAGGAAAAGUGGAAAUAUUCCACAACUUAUCGUUACCAUGUUGUUAGUUUGAAUGUCAAUCCUUUCUUUCACCAGCAGAAACUCCCACAAACAAAAAUGCUGCUUUUAAUAAAGUAACUUCCGUAGAUGAUGGGCUCCGAUAAAAGAGAGGUGGGUGUCUUAAGAGUGACCAGUUACUCCAAACACAGUCUGUUUUUAGCUGUCAGCUGUUAUUGAUUGUUCCUACAGAUUGAUCCAAAAUGCUGAUGCUGGUAGUGCCCAUUUUUAAAAGUUAAUAAACAAUCUCUGCUAUCAUCGCGGCAUCAGCGCUGGAAGGAUAGCGGCCUUUUCAAAGAUAGGAGACGUCGUUUGUGAUGUGUCACUUCAGAUUAAUGUGCAGAGAUGGGAAGAGCCAGACAAGGUUCUCUCACCAGCUCCUUUCCCCAUUACCAUCGUACGCAUCGCAUCUAACAAAGGCUAUUUAUGAAAUGGCGCAUUCUUUUGGACCCUAGUCGCACCUCUUCCCAGCACAUCAAAUCCUAUUUGCACCGCCGGGCUCUCUAUGGAUCUGCCUCGGUUAUGUGAAUAGCCACGUUCUAGGUUUCUCUAUCAGAUGCUCGUGAUAUCCCCCACGGUCGUGGUCGACGAGGGCUUAGCUGAGCCGCCAGCCUUCUCUGUUAAAGUCGUUGGUUUCAUACUACGGGAAAACUCUUUUUAUAUUUGCAUGUGUUGAGCACGGAGGUGGGAGAAGUAAAAGUCCCAGUAAAACAGUGUGAAAGUCAUUCAUUUUUAUUUGAUUAAAGUAAUAAUGGCAGAUUAAAUAUAAUUUAAUUAACGUGCCAAAAGAAGCUUUAUAAUUGGAUAUAAUUGGAUAUUAUAGGAUGCAUUAAUAGCCGCUACACUGUAAUGUUUCAGCUGGUACAGCUGGAGCU